AGUGAACGCUGGCGGCGGGCCUAACACAUGCAAGUCGAGCGGCAGCGGGUUCCCGCGAGGGGAUGCCGGCGAGCGGCGGACGGGUGAGGAACACAUCGGAAUCUGCCUGGUUGUGGGGGAUAACGUAGGGAAACUUACGCUAAUACCGCAUGAGACCCUGAGUCGACGGACUGGGGGGUGAAAGUGAGGGACCUUCGGGCCUCACGCGACCAGAUGAGCCGAUGUCGGAUUAGCAGUUGGCGGGGUAACGGCCCGCCAAGGCGACGAUCCGUAGCUGGUCUGAGAGGAUGAUCAGCCACACUGGGACUGAGACACGGCCCAGACUCCUACGGGA
rnacentral:rRNA from 1 species